CAGAAGGAUGACGAACGUGCCGUCUCGGUGGAACGGCACGGCUGGUUUUAGCUCCGUUUCAAGCAUUGUUAUUCAGUCUACGUUCGCGCCUAUGUAAAUGUUGGUUAACCCCAGGCAGAACGGGGGAGGCUUGGUCCCUAGGCUCGUCCUACAUCCUCACUGCUAUGAUUUUGAAAUGAAAUAUUUCUCUCACUGAACGAGGUGGCAAAAUUUGUGAAACAACUUGGAGCGAUUAUUCUUCUCUUUAAGACUGCCAAUAGUAUUUCUUCGAACGAUCAUUCGAUGAUCCAGUAUUAAGAUUUCUUUGAUCGAAGUUGGAAAAAGGAGGGGGAGGAAAUUUUAUUAACUCGAUCGAAUCUGGACGACAUUUUAUUUUACAAAAGGGACAAGUUAGAAUGGGAGUGAUUACGACAAAGGAAUCUCUUUUAGAAAAUAACGUUGGAUAAAGUUAACAUGAAAUCAUA